rnacentral:rRNA from 1 species
AUUGAACGCUGGCGGCAGGCCUAACACAUGCAAGUCGAGCGGAUGAAGGGAGCUUGCUCCUGGAUUCAGCGGCGGACGGGUGUGUAAUGCCCAGGAAUCUGCCUGGCAGUGGGUGAUGACGUCCGCAAACGGGCGCUAAUACCGCAUACGUCCAGAGGGAGCAAGUGGGGGAUCUUCGGACCUCACGCUCUCAGAUGAGCCUAGGUCGGGUUAGCUAGCUGGUGGGGUAAGUGCCUACCUAGGCGGCGAUCGGUAACUGGUCUGAGAGGAUGAUCAGUCACACUGGAACUGAGACACGGUCCAGACUCCUACGGGAGGCAGCAGUGGGGAAUAUUGGACAAUGGGCGAAAGCCUGAUCCAGCCAUGCCGCGUGUGUGAAGAAGGUCUUCGGAGUGUAAAGCACGUUAAGGUGGGAGGAAGGGCAGUAAGUUAAGACGUUGCUGUUUUGACGGUACCAACAGAAUAAGCACCGGCUAACUACGUG